AAGAACUACCAGCGCAAAGCUAGAAACUCAAAGGACUUGACGGUGCCCCAUAUCAACCUAGAGGAGCCUGUCCUAUAAUCGAUAACCCACGCUUCACCCCACCUGCCCUUGAAAAAUCAGCCUAUAUACCGCCGCCUUCAGCCCACCUAAUGAUAGCCAGUGAGCAAAAUAGUCCACCACUAAAACGCCAGGUCAAGGUGUAGCUAAUGGGCAGGAAGAGAUGGGCUACAUUUUCUAACACCCUAGAACCCCGCCUACACAUGAAACACUUAUAGGCACGUCGGAUUUAGAAGUAAGCCUGGCAAGACAUUGCCACACUGAAAUCUGCCCUGGGGCG
rnacentral:rRNA from 1 species